UCCUGCUUGUGGCAAGGCAGUCCCAUUAGAAAUAUAUAACUAAUGGCGUGGGUUGCGCUCGAUCACGGACUUAACCGAACACCUCAAGGCUCGAGCUGACGACAACCAUGCAGCACCUGUCUUAGCAUUCCCUUGCGGGCACUCCAACAUUUCUGCCGGAUUUGCUAGAUGUCAAGACCUGGUAAGGUUUCUCGCUUACUGUCGAAUUAAACCACAUGCUCCACCGCUUGUGUGGGUCCCCGUCUAUUUCUUUGAGUUUUAGCCUUGCGGCCGUACUACUCAGGCGGAGAACUUAACGCGUUAGCUUAGGCACAGGGAGGAUUGACUCCCCCUACACCGAGUUCUCAUCGUUUAGGGCGUGGACUA
rnacentral:misc_RNA from 1 species